rnacentral:rRNA from 1 species
CCGUUUACUCAGGGAUAGCCUUUCGAAAGAAAGAUUAAUACCUGAUAGUAUGGUGAGAUUGCAUGAUAGCACCAUUGAAGAUUUAUUGGUAAACGAUGGGGAUGCGUUCCAUUAGGUAGUAGGCGGGGUAACGGCCCACCUAGCCGACGAUGGAUAGGGGUUCUGAGAGGAAGGUCCCCCACAUUGGAACUGAGACACGGUCCAAACUCCUACGGGAGGCAGCAGUGAGGAAUAUUGGUCAAUGGGCGAGAGCCUGAACCAGCCAAGUAGCGUGAAGGAUGAAGGUCCUACGGAUUGUAAACUUCUUUUAUACGGGAAUAAAGUAUCCUACGUGUAGGAUUUUGUAUGUACCGUAUGAAUAAGCAUCGGCUAACUCCGUGCCAGCAGCCGCGGUAAUACGGAGGAUGCGAGCGUUAUCCGGAUUUAUUGGGUUUAAAGGGAGCGCAGACGGGAGAUUAAGUCAGUUGUGAAAGUUUGCGGCUCAACCGUAAAAUUGCAGUUGAUACUGGUUUCCUUGAGUGCAGUUGAGGCAGGCGGAAUUCGUGGUGUAGCGGUGAAAUGCUUAGAUACCACGAAGAACCCCGAUUGCGAAGGCAGCUUGCUAAACUGUAACUGACGUUCAUG